CUUCUACUGCGGUCUGAAGAUGAGCCAUACCAGAAGCCUGCAGUACAGCAACAGAGGUACAAACAAAUGGAAUUUCCCUUGUGACUUGUGUGCUGAGACCACAAUACGGUGAGGAGCACUGUUUUGUGAAGGAAACACAUGCACAUUUUGUCAUUAACUUAUCAAUGAUAGUGGAGAUGUGGCACUGUGCAUCGAUUUGGACAGCACCAGACUUCAAUCGGACAGCUUUGAAUAUUCCACUUAGCAGCUCAGCUCUCUGUAUGUAGGCAUGUGCAUUCAGUCCCUUUGUUGUGAUGGAUUUCACUAAUUGGAGGAGAUUGUUGGAAUCCUCAGCACAAACAAUAUUUUCAAAAGUGACACUAUCGCAGAAAGCACAACAUAAGCAUUGACAAAAAGCAUCAAAUGCACAUGUGUUCAGCACAGAGAUUCUUGAUUUCCUGAGUUUAACAGGCUGUUGAUUAUUUCCAUUUUUCAACAGGUCCACUUUCAGUCUUUUCCCCCUCACAGAUGGAUCUGCAUGAAGCCAUUCAGGACAAGGAGAGAGGUAUGAAUUUCUCUUCCUCUUUUUUAGGUGGAACUGCUAGGCCCCUCCAGUUUUCAACAGCAUCUUCAUCUGUUGGAGGGAUGUUUGUGACAGUGUCAGACUUCCUGUGUCCAGUGUCAGAACAGAAAGCAUCCAUUUCUGGUUCUACAUCUACACAGCAAGUUGUGAACAAAUUCGCAUGUUGCCUUCAAUGAAGGACAGAUGUCGAGCAAUGAAUCGAUCUACUCGAAUAGGCAAGUUUUCAUGCUUGAAAAGGCCUCGUUUGAUGUUUUUGAACUCUGCUUCAACAUUAGCUGAACUUGCAGUUAUGUUGGUGCUUUGGAAGUGAGGGAUCAUUACCCCUGUCCAAAGUGGUCUGUCUGUGUUUGGUCACAUGGAUCCAGUUCUUCCAGGUCCUCACCCUCUACAUCUGGAAUGAUGACACGCUCUUCUGCAAUUCGGGCCUUCAGUCCCACUGGCAGAUCAUCUUGAUGCAGUGUGCAACAUCAACCCGAACAAAACAAGGUGGCACUUUUGCUGAAUGUUUACCAACAUUUGCACCACUGGGACACUUGAGCUCUCAUCCCCUGCCAGAACACCCUGAUAUAAGAAGAUGUGGCCAGACUUGCCAUUUGGUCUCUGUAGUUUUCUCACUACUGAGCCAGUUGCAUCAAAACUCACAGUGGGCUUUGCGUAGGGUGGCCAAAUUAGGCAGAUGGCUCGGCUCGGGAUCUCCAAAAUCCAUCAGUUUUGUUGCCUCUGAUGCCCUCCAUACAUGGGGUUCCAUUCUACCCUCACACAGCUCUUUGGCUAUUUGCAUGCGCAAGUUACCGGACAUCGGACGCUUGGAACAGCCAGUGUGCAGGGAGUCAUCAGUGUUCUUAAGUAAACACUUGAGCACCAUCGGACUGUUAAUUUCAGGCUCUCGUUCACAUUUUAUGUGAAUGUGGCCAUGACACUCUUUACAUUGGCCUCUGACAUCAAUGUAUAUCUCUGUGACUGAUGGAUAGACCUUGGCUCUUUUAAAGACAAAAGUGCAGGGGCAUUUUACUUCUUGCCAAAUCUGGUGAUUUAUCACAUGUGUCCAGAUGCCAGGCUUCAAAAUUGUGUAUUCUCUUUUUUGUGUUUUAGAGACCUUGUCUUUGUAUUUAACCGUUUCAGGCAUGAAUUCAAUCCAUUUCUGAAAUGGAACUUCAAGAUUAAAAGUCCAGCAAUCUUUUGAUCUGGAGGAAAGGGACCCUGGCUCAAAAUCAGUGUCAUCACUACUGCCACUUGUUUCAUGAUCACUUUCAUGAAUAUACCCUAAAGCUUUCCAGAUGUUGUGUCUGUUUAAUUUAACAAAAGUGUAUAGAGCCUUUGCGGUGAUCUUGUCUUCUAGCUGUUUACUAAGCUCUGUCCAGAUGCUCUGAUUUGGAGUAGCUAUGUUGCCAUU